GAUGACAACAUACAAAUAUCAUCCGCCAGGGUACUACGAGCGUUAGCUUAAAACCCAAAGGACUUGGCGGUGCUCAAACCCACCUAGAGGAGCCUGUUCUAUAACCGUAAAUCAACGUUAAACCUCACCAUCUCUUGCCUAAACCGCCUAUAUACCGCCGUCGCCAGCUUGCCUCUUGAGAGAUCAAAAUCAAGCCUAAUGGGUAUUGCCCAAAACGUCAGGUCGAGGUGUAGCGAAUGAGAUGGAAUGAAAUGGGCUACAUUUUCUGAUACAGAAAAAUACGAAAAGUGCCAUGAAAUUAGCACGAAGGAAGGUGGAUUUAGCAGUAAAAAGGAGGCAGAGAGUUCUUUUGAAACAGGCACCAAGGCUCGU
rnacentral:rRNA from 1 species